rnacentral:lncRNA from 1 species
UCGCCCUCAGCAGAUGAUCGUCCUCUCACUCAGCUGAUGAGCUUCGUCUACCUCGGCUGAUGAUCAUCCUCGCCCUCAGCAGAUGAUCGUCCUCUCCCUCAGCCGAUGAGCUUCGUCUACCUCAGCUGAUGAUCGUCCUCGCCCUCAGCAGAUGAUCAUCCUCUCACUCAGCUGAUGAGCUUCGUCUACCUCGGCUGAUGAUCAUCCUCGCCCUCAGCAGAUGAUCGUCCUCUCCCUCAGCCGAUGAGCUUCGUCUACCUCAGCUGAUGAUCGUCCUCUCACUCAGCUAUCGAUCGUCCUCUCACUCAGCUGUUGACCAUCUUUUCACUCAACUGAUCGUCUCGCUCAGCUAAGCCUCACCUUCAGCUCGACCCCUUAACGGAGUCCUCGCUUGAGGGGCGUCCUCGCCCGUUGCUGAUUCUAGCAAUUAUCUAACCGGAGUGGAAGACUUAUGCCAUCCUCGCCUUCAAUGAGUCCUCUCCUGAAGUCAUGUCCGGAAUGUGAUACUUGAU